rnacentral:rRNA from 1 species
CCUACGGGAGGCUGCAGUGAGGAAUAUUGGUCAAUGGGCGGAAGCCUGAACCAGCCAAGUCGCGUGAGGGAAUAAGGCCCUACGGUUCGUAAACCUCUUUUGCAGGGGAGCAAGGGCGGGGACGUGUCCCGGCCCGGAGAGUCCCCGGCGAAAAAGCAUCGGCUACCUCGGUGCCAGCAGCCGCGGUAAUACGGAGGAUGCGAGCGUUAUCCGGAUUUAUUGGGUUAAAAGGGUGCGUAGGCGGGCUUUAAAGUCAGCGGUAAAAAUUCGGGGCGAAACACCGUACGGCCGUUGAAACUGGGGGCCUUGAGUGCGCGAGAAGAAGGCGGAAUGCGUGGUGUAGCGGUGAAAUGCAUAGAUAUCACGCAGAACCCCGAUUGCGAAGGCAGCCUUCCGGCGCCCUACUGACGCUGAGGCACGAAAGCGCGGGGAUCGAACAGGAUUAGAUACCCGUGUAGUC